AAGAGACGUUGCCCUUCGGGGUAUACCUCCCACCCUUUGUUUAUUAUACCUUUGUUGCUUUGGCGGGCCCGUCCUCGGACCACCGGCUUCUGCUGGUCAGUGCCCGCCAGAGGGACCUAAAACUCUGUUUGUUAAUAUUGUCUGAGUACUAUAUAAUAGUUA
rnacentral:misc_RNA from 1 species